rnacentral:rRNA from 1 species
UUCCCCUAGUANCUGCGAGUGAAGCGGNAAAAGCUCAANUUUAAANUCUGGCGNUCUUUGGCCGUCCGAGUUGUAAUCUAGAGAAGUGCUAUCCGCGCUGGACCGUGUACAAGUCUCCUGGAAUGGAGCGUCAUAGAGGGUGAGAAUCCCGUCUUUGACACGGACUACCAGGGCUUUGUGAUGUGCUCUCAAAGAGUCGAGUUGUUUGGGAAUGCAGCUCAAAAUGGGUGGUAAAUUCCAUCUAAAGCUAAAUAUUGGCGAGAGACCGAUAGCGAACAAGUACCGUGAGGGAAAGAUGAAAAGAACUUNGGAAAGAGAGUUAAACAGUACGUGAAAUUGCUGAAAGGGAAACGCUUGAAGUCAGUCGCGUUGGCCGGGGAUCAACCUUGCUUUUGCUGGGUGUACUUUCCGGUUGACGGGUCAGCAUCAAUUUUGACCGUUGGAUAAAGUCUAUAGGAAUGUGGCUCUUUCGGGAGUGUUAUAGCCUGUAGUCGUAUACAACGGUUGGGAUUGAGGAACUCAGCACGCCGCAAGNCCGGG